rnacentral:rRNA from 1 species
UACGUAGGGGGCAAGCGUUGUCCGGAAUCAUUGGGCGUAAAGCGCGCGUAGGCGGCUCGGCAAGUCUGCUGUGAAAGCCCAGGGCUCAACCCUGGGAUGCCGGUGGAUACUGUCGAGCUCGAGUCCGGAAGAGGCGAGUGGAAUUCCUGGUGUAGCGGUGAAAUGCGCAGAUAUCAGGAGGAACACCAAUGGCGAAGGCAGCUCGCUGGGACGUGACUGACGCUGAGACGCGAAAGCGUGGGGAGCAAACAGG